rnacentral:rRNA from 1 species
AGUGAACGCUGGCGGUAGGCCUAACACAUGCAAGUCGAACGGCAGCACAGUAAGAGCUUGCUCUUACGGGUGGCGAGUGGCGGACGGGUGAGGAAUACAUCGGAAUCUACUUUUUCGUGGGGGAUAACGUAGGGAAACUUACGCUAAUACCGCAUACGACCUACGGGGGAAAGCAGGGGAUCUUCGGACCUUGCGCGAUUGAAUGAGCCGAUGUCGGAUUAGCAGGUUGGCGGGGUAAAGGCCCACGGAUGGGACGAUCCGUAGCUGGUCUGAGGGGAUGAUGCGCGACACUGAGGGUGAGCGGCGACCCUGGCACCGACGGGAGGCAGAGAUGGGGAAGAUUGGCAAAUGGGGGGAAGCCUGCACCAGCCAUGCAGCGUGGGUGAAGAAGGCCUGCGUGUUGUAAAGCCCUUUUGUUGGGAAAGAAAGCCAGCGGGUUAAAACCCCGCUGUUCGGACGGUACCCAAAGAAUAAGCACCGGCUACUUUCGG